UGAAGAAUGAUGCAAUAAAAUGUUUAAUAUGUUAACGGGUUUAGGAUUAAUUGACAAUAUUAACACGGUUUCUAUUUUACGCGCAUGGAUAAAAUAACUACGCGAAAAGCCGCGUGCAUUGGCUGUGACGUAGCACGUGAACAGCCAGCCAGUAAACAAUAUGUGAAACCAUGUGCUUUUUGAUAGAUUUGUUUACAUUAGCGCUUUGAUCAAUGGCUUACCAAUCGUUUAUGUUUGAGCCCGAACGUUCCGAACAUGAUAGUGAGUCGGACUUCGACAUAGGAUUAUCUUCAGGCGAUGAAUUGGAAGAAAAUGUCGAAAAUAUUGCGCGAUUGGGAAACCGAGAUUGGUGUUUGUGUGGCAACUGCAGACCAAUGGACACGGCUGUGGCGAGAUCGUCAGGAUUUUCUCAGUGUAGCAUUUUUAUGUUGGUGAAGUUGUCACACGUUACUACGCAACUAUUUGUCAUAAGUGCACACUUUGAUGUUCAAUUUGGUAUAAUAAAUAUAUGAACAAGA